AGUGAACGCUGGCGGUAGGCCUAACACAUGCAAGUCGAACGGCAGCACAGUAAGAGCUUGCUCUUACGGGUGGCGAGUGGCGGACGGGUGAGGAAUACAUCGGAAUCUACUUUUUCGUGGGGAUAACGUAGGGAAACUUACGCUCAUACCGCAUACGACCUACGGGUGAAAGCCGGGGAUCUUCGGACCUUGAGCGAUUGCAUGAGCCGAUGUCGGAUUAGCUAGUUGGCGGGGUAAAGGCCCACCAAGGCGACGAUCCGUAGCUGGUCUGAGAGGAUGAUCAGCCACACUGGAACUGAGACACGGUCCAGACUCCUACGGGAGGCAGCAGUGGGGAAUAUUGGACAAUGGGCGCAAGCCUGAUCCAGCCAUACCGCGUGUGUGAAGAAGGCCUUCGGGUUGUAAAGCCCUUUUGUUGGGAAAGAAAAGCAGCAGGUUAAUACCCCGCUGUUCUGACGGUACCCAAAGAAUAAGCACCGGCUAACUUCGUG
rnacentral:rRNA from 1 species